rnacentral:lncRNA from 1 species
UUGUUGAACUUGUACCGGACUGUUUGAAUCAUACCAAGUUUGCGCUAAAAUGGUCUGAUUUGGUAUAGAUAGCUUGUAUAUUAUGAGAUGAAUAAGGUGUUAUAGAUAGCUUGUAUAUUAGAUUUUGAGAUGAAUAAGGUGGUUUAAUCUGGUCAGUGUCAUAGUGUUCUAACUCAAUAAUACUGUCAUGGUUGUAAUAUGAAUGAGAUCAAUAUAUUGAUGAAGAAACAGGGGUUUCCGUGUACUAUAAGGCAUACCAACAACGACAUUGUCAUAUAUACAUCGUACAUUUUUUUUUUUCACAUGGCCUAUUAGAAACAUAUAAUAUAUAGGUCUCUCUAUUAAAAAACG